GUUAUCCUACGGGGGGCAGCAGUAGGGAAUAUUGCUCAAUGGGGGAAACCCUGAAGCAGCAACGCCGCGUGGAGGAUGAAGGUUUUCGGAUUGUAAACUCCUUUUGUUAGAGAAGAUAAUGACGGUAUCUAACGAAUAAGCAUCGGCUAACUCCGUGCCAGCAGCCGCGGUAAUACGGAGGGUGCAAGCGUUACUCGGAAUCACUGGGCGUAAAGAGCGCGUAGGCGGGAUAGCAAGUCAGAUGUGAAAUCCUAUGGCUUAACCAUAGAAAUGCAUUUGAAAUUGUUAUUCUAGUGUAUGGGAGG
rnacentral:rRNA from 1 species